ensembl:lncRNA
ACUCCCUCCCAGAGCUGACCCUCUCUUUGCUGUCCUUCUGCAAGCAGGCAAAGGGGGUUUCUCUUAGGCUUUUUCUCAGUAACUCCAUGCCUAAGAGGGGAUUCUAAAAAAUAAGGCUUCUCUCUCUCUCUCUCUCUCUCUCUCUCUCUCUCUGUGUUUAAUGUGGGAAGGUUUAAAAUCUGAUAUCUGCUUUGUUUCUUUUUUUAAAAUAUUGUAAUAAUGUAUUGUUUUUUAAUUUGUAAUUUUGUCUAUUUUAGUAGUGUAAGCUGGCUUGGGUCCCCUUGAAGAGAAAGGUGUGGUAUAGAAGAUUUAAAUAUAUCAAUAAUAUAAAUAAAUAAUCAAAUGCAUUGGUGGAACACCACCUUGAUGAAGUCAGAACCAGAGUGAUGUGGGACACUCUGAUUAUUGCAGUCUCUUACAUCAUAAUACUGUAGUUGUAGCAGAGGGUGCUAACUCUUUCCUCCCUUAACCAUUUCACUAAUCUAAAAUGACCCUCGGCUUUCAGGCUGCUUUUAGUUUUAUGGAGAGUAAGGAGAACUAAGGCAUUGUGCUCUCUUUUCCUAGUCACAGAAUGAGUGAAGACAUACCUUGAUGUGCCUAUUAUUAUUCUCAAGACUGUAUUACUCGGCAAAAUCUCAAGAACAACUAAUCUCAUGGUUGAUCUCAGAAGUUGUCAUCACACGCCGUUUGAGAGACCGAGAGCUUCUCAGGAAAAGAAAAGCAGAAACAGAGGAAAAAGACACUCACCAGUGGGUUCUGGGGUAAAUUAGGAUGGUGUUAAAAUGACCUUUGAUUUUACAGACAAAGCAGUUUUACACAUUCCUUAUGGGCAUGCAUGGUAUAAAAAUUGCUCUUUUAAAUUUAAUGAGUGAUACUGCAGUGUACUUUCUACAAGAUCUGAAAGUUACAGGCAGAGAUAUAUUAAAAUGGACAGGUACAGUUAUUCCUCAGAUUUCUGUUCAGAGGUUGGAAAGAUUUGCCCAGAAGCAAUUGGACUAAACCUGCCUGCGGAAGGGUAUUGCUUUGUGGAUCCCACCUACCUACCCUGCCCCAUGUACUGUCUUUCAUGGACCUGAUUUUGUAAACCAUUGAACAAUUGGGUGCAUGAAGAAGAGUCUGCUGAUGGGGUGGCACCCUUUCCCCCCUAAAUAAGGUCCAGCACCUUCAAUAACUCCUGUAAAAUGCAGAUAAAAUCCAGAGUAGAUCACGGUGUGUGUCUGGAAAUGAAAUCACCAGCCACUGCUGCCUUGAGUAAUUAGCACUGGAUUCCUAUUUCUUAUCUUUCUCUCAUGUUUUGUUACCUGUCUGUGCUUUCCUUUGUAUUUAGUGUCCUUCUGCCACACAGGCUGAAAUCCAGCUAGCACAACUAUACUUCGUAUAUGGUCAUUAUGUCAUCACCCAAAGCCACUAAUCUUUAAUUUAAUUUAACACAUGUUAUUCCGCACAUUCCCUCAGGUUUCAAGGCACCUAAAGGACCCCUUUUGCCCCUGGCGAAGCCUUUGGGACCCUCAGGAGAGAGAGGAUAAGCCUUUAAAAGUGGAUUGCCCCUGGGAGUCUUGAUCUGGUGACAGGACAGCCAGCAGCAAUUUCUUUCAAUCCUAAGGCUUCCA